GGGUGAGCCACUGUGUGAGCUCGCGGCUAGGCCAUGCUGCUGACGCGCGGGGCCGGCUCGCGCUCCUCGCUCCUCCGGGCCGCACUGGGCCUGGGGCCGAGGCCGGGGCCCGGGCCGGGAACGGGGAGGGCGGCGUCGGGGGCGCCCGGGCAGGGCUGGCUGCAGCCCGCGGGCUACGACACCGGCGUCAAGGUGUACAACAGCCUCACCCGGAGGAAGGACCCCUUGAUCGUGAGCAACGUGGACGCCGUCUCCUGGUAUUCCUGUGGACCAACUGUCUACGAUCACGCACACCUUGGCCACGCUUGCUCGUAUGUGAGAUUUGAUAUAAUUCGAAGGAUCCUAAGCAGGGUUUUUGGGUGCAACAUCAUCAUGGUGAUGGGAGUUACAGACGUGGAUGAUAAAAUAAUCAAGAGAGCCAAUGAGAUGAAUGUGUCACCUGCUUCUCUUGCCAAUCUUUACGAAGAAGAUUUUAAACAGGACAUGGCGGCCUUGAAGGUUCUCCCGCCCACGGUGUACCUGAGGGUGACCGACAACAUCCCGCAGAUCAUUGCUUUCAUCGAAGGAGUGAUUGCUCGUGGGCAUGCUUACUGUACAGCCAAAGGCAACGUCUACUUCGACCUGCAGUCCAGAGGCGACAAGUACGGCAGGCUGGUCAGCGUGGCCCCAGGUCCUGUGGGAGAGCCAGCAGUUGACUCUGACAAGCGGCACCCCAGCGACUUUGCCCUGUGGAAGGCAGUGAAGCCCCAGGAGCCAGCUUGGGCCUCUCCCUGGGGAAACGGCAGGCCCGGCUGGCACAUCGAGUGUUCUACCAUCUGCAGCCUGGUGUUUGGAAGUCACCUGGACAUCCACUCGGGUGGGAUCGACUUGGCUUUCCCGCACCACGAGAACGAAAUCGCUCAGUGCGAGGCCUUCCAUCAGUGCAGGCAGUGGGGCAAUUACUUCCUGCAUGCUGGGCAUUUGCAUGUGAAAGGCAAAGAAAAAAUGUCCAAAUCCCUGAAGAACUACAUCACCAUUAAGGACUUCCUCCGGGCCGCCUCCCCCGACGUCUUCCGGCUCUUCUGCCUGCGGAGCGGCUACAGGUCAGCCGUGGACUACGGCGACAGCGCCCUGCUCGAGGCCCAGCGCCUGCUCCACGCCGUGGCCGCCUUCGCGGAGGACGCUCGUGCCUACAUGCGGGGCCAGCUGGCCGGCGGCCCGGUCCAGGAGGAUGCGCUGUGGGAGAGCCUGGGCCGCACCAAGGGGGCUGUGCAGGAGGCCUUAGCAGAUGACUUCAACACGCCGGGGGCGGUGGACGCCGUCAUGGGCCUUGUCCACCAUGGGAACAGACAGCUCAAGGCGGCCUCAGAGGUAACUCCCAGGACACGGCGGCAGAGCAGGGUUUGUUGGCUUAGUUUUGAGGACAGAGUGGACGUCACCUUUCUGGCUCCCUGAAGCGACCUGUGUCCCAGAGCGCUGGCCUCCAGGCUUUCCCUGGGUCCUGGGUCACCCCACCCUGGGGCCACCUCCUGAGCUGGGGUGGGGGGUGGCAGUAGAUGCAGGUCGGGGGCUGUAGGGAUGCCUGGCACAUGGACACAGGAGCAUGCGACACUCCAGUCGUCACGUAAACUUAGUGGAACCUGAACUGGGGAGGAAGCUGUGAUGGGGCCCAACUGCCUGCACCCACUGCCCUGUCCAUCCCUGGGCCUUGGUGCCAGGCCGUUGGUGGAGGCUCAUUGGCCCAGUGACAUCUCGGAGGCCCACCUGCUGACACUGCCACCUUGGGGCUUGGUGCCAGAGAGCCCGGUGGUCCCAGGAGCCCCGCCGUGUUCGGCGCCAUUGUGUCCUACGUGGAGCAGUUCUUUGAGACGGUCGGCAUUUCCCUGGUGGACCGACAG